CUACGGGGGGCAGCAGUGGGGAAUAUUGCACAAUGGGCGCAAGCCUGAUGCAGCCAUGCCGCGUGUAUGAAGAAGGCCUUCGGGUUGUAAAGUACUUUCAGCGGGGAGGAAGGGAGUAAAGUUAAUACCUUUGCUCAUUGACGUUACCCGCAGAAGAAGCACCGGCUAACUCCGUGCCAGCAGCCGCGGUAAUACGGAGGGUGCAAGCGUUAAUCGGAAUUACUGGGCGUAAAGCGCACGCAGGCGGUGUGUUAAGUCAGAUGUGAAAUCCCCGGGCUCAACCUGGGAACUGCAUCUGAUGCUGGCAAGCUUGAGUCUCGUAGAGGGGGGUAGAAUUCCAGGUGUAGCGGUGAAAUGCGUAGAGAUCUGGAGGAAUACCGGUGGCGAAGGCGGCCCCCUGGACGAAGACUGACGCUCAGGUGCGAAAGCGUGGGGAGCAAACAGGAUUAGAUACCCGGGUAGUC
rnacentral:rRNA from 1 species